GAUUAACGCUAGCGGCAGGCCUAAUACAUGCAAGACGAACGGUAAGUUGAGUAGCAAUACUUAGCCAAGAGUGUCGUACGGGUGCGUAACACGUAUGCAACCUACCCUAUACAGGAGGAUAGCCUAGGGAAGCCUGGAUUAACCCUUCAUAGUAUUAUUGGAUGGCAUCAUUUGAUAAUUAAAACUGAGGUGGUAUAGGAUGGGCAUGCGUCUGAUUAGUUAGUUGGCGGGGUAAUGGCCCACCAAGACGAUGAUCAGUAGGGGUUCUGAGAGGAAGAUCCCCCACACUGGCACUGAGAUACGGGCCAGACUCCUACGGGAGGCAGCAGUAGGGAAUACUGGUCAAUGGAUGCAAGUCUGAACCAGCCAUGCCGCGUGCAGGAAGAAGGCCCUUCUGGGGUUGUAAACUGCUUUUGCCAGGGGAUAAAAUUUCCAUGCGUGGAAAACUGAAGGUACCUGGUGAAUAAGCCACGGCUAACUACGUGCCAGCAGCCGCGGUAAU
rnacentral:rRNA from 1 species